rnacentral:rRNA from 1 species
UAUACCCGUUAAGGCAUGAUGGCCUGUACCCGAAACCGACACAGGUGGGGUGGUAGAGAAUACCGAGGGGCGCGAGGUAACUCUCUCUAAGGAACUCGGCAAAAUGGCCCCGUAACUUCGGGAGAAGGGGUGCCACCGCAAGGUGGUCGCAGUGAAGAGGCCCAGGCGACUGUUUACCAAAAACACAGGUCUCCGCUAAGUCGCAAGACGAUGUAUGGGGGCUGACGCCUGCCCAGUGCCGGAAGGUUAAGGAAGCUGGUCAGCGCAAGCGAAGCUGGCGACUGAAGCCCCGGUGAACGGCGGCCGUAACUAUAACGGUCCUAAGGUAGCGAAAUUCCUUGUCGGGUAAGUUCCGACCCGCACGAAAGGCGUAACGAUCUGGGCGCUGUCUCGGAGAGAGGCUCGGCGAAAUAGAAUUGUCUGUGAAGAUGCGGACUACGUGCACCCGGACAGAAAGACCCUAUGAAGCUUUACUGUAGCUUGGUAUUGUGCCCGGGCUCUGAAUGCGCAGGAUAGGUGGGAGGCUUUGAUCCAUGGCUUGCGGGUCAUGGUGAGCCAACGGUGAGAUACCACUCUUUCAGAGCUAGGGUUCUAACGGUCACCCGUCAUCCGGGGACCGGACAGUAUCAGGUGGGCAGUUUGACUGGGGCGGUCGCCUCCUAAAAGGUAACGGAGGCGCGCAAAGGUUUGCUCAGGCUGGUUGGAAAUCAGCCGACGAGUGCAAAAGCAGAAGCAAGCUUGACUGUGAGACCUACAAGUCGAACAGGGACGAAAGUCGGCUUUAGUGAUCCGACGGUUCUGAGUGGAAGGGCCGUCGCUCAACGGAUAAAAGUUACUCUAAGGAUAACAGGCUGAUCUCCCCCAAGAGUUCACAUCGACGGGGAGGUUUGGCACCUGAUGUCGGCUCAUCGCAACCUGGGGCUGAAGUCGGUCCCAAGGGUUGGGCUGUUCGCCCAUUAAAGCGGUACGCGAGCUGGGUUCAGAACGUCGUGAGACAGUUCGGUCCAUAUCCGGUGCACGCGCAGGAACAUUGAGAGGAUUUCUCCCUAGUACGAGAGGACCGGGAGGAACGCACCUCUGGUGUGCCAGUUAUCGUGCCAACGGUAAACGCUGGGUAGCCAUGUGCGGAGUGGAUAACCGCUGAAAGCAUCUAAGUGGGAAGCCCACCUCAAGAUGAGUGUUCCCAUGGCAUAAGCCAGUAAGGUCACGGGAAGAACACCCGUUGAUAGGCUCUACGUGGAAGCCGGGUAACCGGUGAAGCGGAGGAGUACU